rnacentral:rRNA from 1 species
CCGGUCCCAUUCCGAACCCGGCAGUUAAGCUCCCCUGCGCCUAUGAUACUGGCCGCGAGAGCGGUCGGGAAAGUUGGUCGCUGCCAGGG